UACGUAGGGUGCAAGCGUUGUCCGGAAUUAUUGGGCGUAAAGAGCUCGUAGGCGGUUUGUUGCGUCGGCUGUGAAAUCCCGAGGCUCAACCUCGGGUCUGCAGUCGAUACGAGCAAACUAGAGUGUUGCAGGGGAGACUGGAAUUCCUGGUGUAGCGGUGAAAUGCGCAGAUAUCAGGAGGAACACCGGUGGGCGAAGGCGGGUCUCUGGGCAAACAACUGACGCUGGAGGAGCGAAAGCGUGGGGAGCGAACAGG
rnacentral:rRNA from 1 species